CCUACGGGUGGCAGCAGUGGGGAAUAUUGGACAAUGGAGGCAACCCUGACCCAGCAACGCCGCGUGAGUGAUGAAGGUCUUCGGAAUGUAAAGCUCUGUGAGCGGGGAAGAAAACAAUGACGGUACCCCAAUAACAAGCCACGGCUAACUACGUGCCAGCAGCCGCGGUAAUACGUAGGGGGCAAGCGUUAUCCGGAAUGACUGGGUGUAAAGGGAGCGUAGGUGGUUUAGUAAGUCUGGAGUGAAAUGCCGGGGCUCAACCCCGGCACUGCCGGGGAAACUAUUAGACUUGAGUGCAGGAGAGGUAAGUGGAAUUCCUAGUGUAGCGGUGAAAUGCGUAGAUAUUAGGAGGAACAUCAGGGGCGAAGGCGGCUUACUGGACUGUAACUGACGCUGAGGCACGAAAGCGUGGGGAGCAAACAGGAUUAGAUACCCUAGUAGUC
rnacentral:rRNA from 1 species